UACAGAGACUGCAAGCGUUAUUCGGAUUCACUGGGCGUAAAGGGUGCGCAGGCGGCCGUAUGUGUGAGGCGUGAAAGCCCGGGGCUUAACCCCGGAAUUGCACCUCAAACUAUACGGCUAGAGCAUUGGAGAGGGUAGCAGAAUUCAUGGUGUAGCAGUGAAAUGCGUAGAUAUCAUGAGGAAUACCAGAGGCGAAGGCGGCUACCUGGACAAUUGCUGACGCUCAGGCACGAAAGCGUGGGGAGCAAACAGG
rnacentral:rRNA from 1 species